CCUUGGGUGUAGUUGCUUCACAGGGAAUCUAGCUUAUGGAGUUACUCUCGAAAGUCACAUUAUUUUUAGAGACUGGCCAGUCAUCACUUCAGAGUUUCGAUAACACAGAGAAUUCAAUGAAAGCUGAGAUAGCUUGGAUACUCCUUCUUUUGGUGCUUGUGAGAAUUCAAUUAACUCAAGCCCCUGCCCACAUGGGAAUCCUCACUCUAGGCCUGUACUCUAACAACAAUAUGAACCCAAGCCAGUAGUCUUUCUCUGUUCUCUCAAUCUUUGGACCUACUUGUGUGUCACCCUGCUCUUUCCAGAAAGCUGCAUGAUUACAGGGACUCUGCCAAUGCAUGUCUUCAUUGUCAGCUGACCAUCACUUCAGUUCUUCCAAAAGCAAUACCCAGGGGUAUAUUGGCAUUCCGGAAGAGGAAUAAACCACAGGUUUCUUUAUGUUUCCCUGCUUGAUCGUGUCAACACCACUUCUGCAAAGACUCUAUCAGUGGAUUCCAGCUAAAACUGAUUCCACAUUACUAUAACCAGCGCCAUGAAAUCUUCUCAGAGGAAUCAACAUCAACUGAUGGCUGCCCCAGUCCCAAAGUUUGAAUCCCAGCUGCUAAAAGAUCAAGUCCUGCAGUGUUGUAGAAGCCCUCCAUCAGACAAGCAGAGUAACACAGGAGCUUGAGGUGGUAUGCUGGGAGUGUGUAUGAAAAAUGUCUUCUGCAGCUUCAGCUGGACCACAAAAAUAUAGGACAGGUCAUCCACAUUGACUUUUUCAGUCCACCCAUUGCCUCAUUUAAGUCUGCCUAAGCCCUACGCUGUCUCAUUUGUUAUGGAUGCUUUAUGGUAAUGGUUAAACAUAAUAUAAAAAAAUGAUGUAACACCAGAAGUAAAGUAGAACGAGCUAUAUUCCCUGAUGUAGCUAUUACUCUCAAGGCUGUAGCUAAUAUGAACCUUCUUUCUCUAGUAACCUUCAUGCUGGGUUAGCACUUCGGCUGGUUAGUUUCCUCGUUCAGGAGAGAGUGCAGACAUGGAUCUCCGAAGGUUCUAACCACCUGCUUACUUAACCUUUGUCAGGCCAUGGUCACUGCAACUGCCAGCUGACUGUUGUCACCAAGUUCAGAUUUAUUCUUCCCUGUCUCAUAAUGUAGCAAUAUCUCUAGCACCUCAUUUUAUUCCAGGCAGUUCACUCGUUAGUUAGAGUCAUGCCUUUCCUUUCCUACUGAUCCAUCUGCAUUCAGAGCCCAAAACGAACUGAUAAUACUCAUAGUAUUUGUUCAUGGAAGUAUUUGGUUCCUCUACCUCAUAGAGAAACCAGGAUCAUUAAUCCCUCACAGACUAAAAAGGAUGGGAAAUACAAAGUUUUCAAUUGGUCACUGAAAGUGAUGGUAAUAGAAGGCAAUCCUAUGAUCACGCCUUGAUUUCUGGAUAUAAGCCUUCUACCUAUUGACCUCUCAGCAAGAUAUAAUCACCAUUGGUUCAACAUCUAUACCAUAUCAUGUCUAACAUACUACUCUAAUAGCACAUGUUUUAUACCCUAUCUAGUGAUUUAGCUGAACUUUUAAGAGAACCUCCCAGAGCUCUACUGGACACGCACAGUGCUACUUUGGCAGUGCGUUAUCAUCCGGUUCUGAGUCUCUGUUCCUCAGGGGCUUUCAUCUAACUUUCAAAAUUUAAUAGUCCUAACUUUAUCCAUUUGUUCCUGGUAGCAGUUUCCUGCAAAUACUGUUUCUCUGAUAUUUUAGCGCCCACCACUUUUUAUUCCCCCUUUCAAUCCUCCAUUACAUGUUUAAAUAAUCCUUUUCUGGAUUUUGUCAAAAUAACUGGUGCACUUUCUGUCUUUCUGACUGGUGCUGGAGGGAGGGGAAGAGGCUGAAGAAAAAGAAAAUUUGUCAGAAUAAUUGGAAGUAUAUCAGGGCAGUAGGUUAAAUUGAAAUCCAAUUAGCCAAGAAUUUUCCUGAAGUCCAUGAAAAUAUGGUACCUUGCUGGAUGUUGUCAUUAGAAGAUAGGUAUUAGCAGAAGGAACAGAGAAAAAAAACAAUAUAGAAAUUCAACUCUUGAAAAGGUCAUUUUUCGGUGGACCAAAGGAACAAUGGAGAAAUAGCUUGGGAACUCAAAAGGACUCUGCUAGAUGAUGUGGUCCAGAAUAGACUUUAUGGGAAGUACAAAUAAACCGUCUUUAAUGGGAGUUAUACCAACCAGAUGCAUUUGUAACUGGGUGACAGAAUUAUUGGUGGCCCCAAUGAUCAGGAGUCGCUACUGUAAGUUAAUGACAAAAGACCAGGAAUACUACAUGUCCUGUAAUACAGGGGAUUGUCCAGGACAAGAAAAAUCUGUCUCUCUCCAAAGGCCAUUAGCAAUCCUAAUGAGAAACACUAUCUCAGAUACUAUUUUUAGUAUUUUUCCUAUUGACAUAUUUUUUAAAUCACUUUCUUGCAUUUUAUCUUAUACGCCAUAUGGCUCAGGUAAUACUUUAGUAAAUGAAACAUUUAACUAAUGAGUCUAAAAAUAUCAGCUGAAUAAAUCAUAAGCAUCAAACUCAUGAAUUGUGUAAUAUAUAACUUUCAAAUUGUACAAGUACUUUCUAUUAAUCUUAUUCAAUUUGGAAAGGCACAGAUAUUCUCAAGAUUUCAAAAUUAUUUAUGUCAAAACAGUACUAAAUAUAUGCAGAUUUUCUCAGUGGAAUCAAGCAGUUUUGUAAAUGUUUUGCUUUUGAAAUAGUGUAAGAUUUUGAGUUCAUUUCUUCACAAAUUUCCCACUUAUCAUUCUUUCCUUCAUAAAUAUUUAGAUGAAGUAGUCAGAAUAUAAACCUCUUAGUACAAAGAAGAACUGAAAGACAAAAAUGUAGAUUAUCUAUGGCAGGAAAGAAAAUGGUGCUGAAGCCAAGCUACUACCUGGUAAUGCCAGAAUUAAAAUAUCCUAUGGUUUGUAUCUGAUCCAGUUGUGAAUGUGAGGACUUUGCAUACAGAUUUGAAAUAAGUAAAUAGCACAGGAGCAGAAAAUUCAGAGCAAACAAUAUCUAAUUUUAAAAUACGUGCCUAUAUUAAAUGCAAUCUUGUGUAUAGGAGAAAAAUCUCUCAUCCCAAACUUUGUAGAACUAAACUGUUUGCCUGAUGUAAUUUAUAGCUUCCUCUGAAGAGUAGAAAGCAUUUCUAUUAAAAUGCUCAAGUGUUUUUUUUUUUUUUUAUGAUUUUAAAGAGAUUAAGAAUUCAUUCUAGGAAAUAAGAAUUACCUACCUAGCUGACAGAUCAUCCAUCCUUAUUAUCUUUAAGGAGCUAUUUCUCUUUCACAUUUGUUGUUUGUGUGUAUUGUUUUUGUAUAUAAAUGCCUCUAUGAAUAGUAAAAACCUUUGAAAUGGC